UUUUUUUUUGUUUUAGUUUAUCUGAUUAGAUGCGUAUUGCUUGCUGUUUUGUAUAGCCUUCGUUUGGAUAUAUGUUUGCUGCUUGAUUUGAAUUUAUCGAUUCUUGAUUGAUAUGGAUCUCAUCUGACCUCGUGGUCUAUUCUCACUGCCACUUUUUCCUUUCUUGCAAAGGAUAAAUAAGUUCAUUGUUGCAUCAACGCUCCAAUGAUACUUUUAGUCCUGAACUAAUUAGAUUCACAGCAUGCUCUUGCUGCGAUUUAUGCAGAUUUCUAGCAUAUGUUUUUGGCUGGACUAUUCAAUCACAAGUCAUCUCUUUGAAAAUACUCAUCUUCCAAGUUCCAACAAAAAAGCAAUAAGAUAAACAGAAGCAGCAGCAUCGACAGAGCCAGCUCCAGUGAUUGGCACUGCUGAUAUCGAAUCGAUGGGUAGAGGAAGAGGCAGAGGGAAGAAGCUAACCAUUGUCAGGAGCCAUGAGGACAAAGGAAGCAGUGGCGAAGAAGUUGUGCCUGCAAGGAAGAGAAGAGGAAGGCCCCAAAAGCGCUUCACCGAUAAGAUCGAUCAAACAGAUGUCGAAAAUUUAGUCGAAAAGGUUGAUGGAGAUGGGGAAGAAGUUGAUGACGUGAAGCUGAAGAACAGCACUUCAUCUGUUGGUAACAAGAGGGGCAGGCCGCUGAAAGAAGGCUCUAACCUUGUCCUAGAAGAGAAUAACUCUAGUGUUCGAUCAAGCAGCGAUGAAUCAACGAGGACUAAUGGGUUCAGGCAGAUUGGAAGCCGGAGGAAAAACAAGCCCCGGCGAGCUGCAGAGGCAGGGCUAGAAUGCAAGUGAAACAUCCCUGCGAUCUUCUGAUCUUCAGUACCAGGUAGCCUACAAAAUUUUGCUAUAUCCUCAUGUCUAGUAGCUCCCCAGUGCUGAAAAAAAAUGUGUAAACUAGCAUGUUCUGAUUGCAUGCCUCAAUUUUUUCGUUUGAUGCAAAGUGUAUGAACUAAUGGUACAGCUACUUGUUCAGCUGCUCUAGCCUUGAUUCUACUUUGAGCUGCUUGUAGCAGAGAUUUACCUUUCUGUUACAACAACUGGUGAUACUAGAAGGUGUUCCUGCAAUUUUGAUAUGUCUGGUGCAUCUUCUUCUUUGCUUUGCUGUACUUAUUAGUAGCUUAUUAAGUUCUGGAAAUGAAAUUGGAACACAGGAGCUGUCUACUCUUGACGAGGGUCAUGCAUAGCGAAUGUGAAAAGGGAGAUAGUUUGUUAUAUUAAUCUAGAAAUUUCUUGUUUGCAUAAGCAUUUGUGUAUUUGGGCACUCUUAGCUCAACUUGGACUAUGCUCGGAUUUGAUCAUUCGUAUCCAUAUGAGUACGAGACAAGCAACACAUCUAAAAACUAAAAUGGCAGUUUAAUUUGAUGACUUGUUUCAAGGCUUCAAGCUCAGGCAUCCAUAUUUGGUGGAAUUUUACCAUCGUGAAGUCAAAUAGCUUCUGUUUGCUUGCACUGCAAUCUGGGCAUUAUAUUUCCUUACGAAAUUCCUUUUUUAUUAGCCAAUACCUAUAAUUCUAUGGACGAGUAUAAAACACAAGAACAUAUCGUGAUCCCGAGUCCCUGACAUGCGGAAUGGAGUGGCAUGGCACUACCACAGGACUCCACUCGUUGGCUAUGGAUUUCUUGUCUUGGAUCACCUUAUCAACAAGCUCGCAGCAAUCCAUCCACCCCUCCUCUCCCCUGUUCAAACCCGACACGGGACGAGGUCGGCAGAGGGCUCUUUCGGCAAAAAGCUGCGCCACUUUUGCCACCCGCCCCAGGUGGUGGCCUGCCGCUGCCCGCUGCCGCCGCGCGGCUGCCGCAUGCGGUCUCGCGCUCGCCUCGCCCGACGGCGCCUCGCGCGACAUCGUCGGUCGGCCGAUGGCGCCGCGUCGGCCUGUCUGCCCGCGGCGGGGCCGGCCCCGCCCGCCCGCUCGUUCCAGCGCUGAAUCAUUAGGCACUCGCCGUGAGCGUGACGGGUGACCGUCGGUCCGUCGCAUCCGCCGCGCGGAGGGCGGGCGCCUGGGCGCUGCGCGUCCCCGCGCGGUUCGUGGCCGCUGCCCGGGCGUUGUGCGGUCGAGCGGGACCUUGCUCUUGUGGAGCAGAGUGGAGUGGACGCGUCGUCCAGGGCGGCGCCUGCACAUGUCCGCGGGCCCCGGCCCCUGGGUCACACUCGAACGCAACGGCCGGCCAGCGAGCAAAGCCCGGGAGUCCACACGACCUGGAUCAGUCUCUUUUCUUUUGUGAAAAUGUAGAGAACUUUAUUGAUUACUCAGAAGUUCAUCUGUGAUUGAGAUUGACAUUGUGACCUCGCGUAUCGCUGCGCAGCUACUGCGCUAUACAGGUCGAUACUCCGAUAAUGUAUGAAACUGCACACCCGAGACAGAUCGAUGGCAAAAUCUCCUUCUUUUUUGGUCGGAAUGGUGAAAUACUUGACACUACGUGUACUGUGUAGUGAAAACUGACCAUACUUUUUAGAAACAGUGUAGUGAGCAAUUGUUUUUAUUAUUUUUAGAGUGUUUUUGAAAGUGUGUUGUGAACAAUUUUCCGGAGACUCGACCAGCACGGACGGACUCGUAACUUGUGUUGGGCUAACAAGAUCACUCGUGUCAUUUGUUGUUGUGAAAGGCCCACGUAACAACAACGCCGAAUCAGCCCACGCGCGAGACCAGGCCCAGAGCCCACAUCAACGCCGCGGCCGGGCACCACCCACCUCUCCCGGCUCACUCCUACCAGUCUCCCACGCCGCGAUUCCCCCAUUUCCACCCCGAAACCUCCGGCCGUCCUCCCCUGAAUCCAACCUUCUCCGCCGCCGCCGGCACACACCGCGCCGUCUCCAGAGGUAAGCCACUCUCUUUCCCACUCGGCUCCCUUCCCAACCACGGGGGACACCCCCACCCCGACCUCAACCGAACGCACGCCGUCACUAGAUCCCUGGAAUUCCCGAUCCCGUCCUGCCCAGCCUUGGGCUCGCCGGAUCGAGCGUCACGCGCGCGGCCGCGGCUCUGAUUCGCUGAGCCUGUCCGCAGGAACAGGAGGGAUCGAGCCAUGGAGGACGACUCGCCGGUGACGAAGACGGUGAAGGGCGCCGUGACGGGGCUCGCCGCGGGGACCAUCUGGGGCACCGUCGUCGCCACCUGGUACGACGUGCCGCGGGUGGAGCGCCACGUCGCGCUGCCGGGACUCAUCCGGACGCUCAAGAUGUGCGGGACCUACGGGGCCACCUUCGCCACCAUCGGCGGGCUCUACAUCGGCGUCGAGCAGCUCGUGCAGGCCCAGCGCAAGAAGCACGACUUCGUCAACGGAGCCGUCGGCGCGUUCGUCGCCGGGGCCUCCGUCUGCGGCUACAGAGGUUAGAAACUCCAACCGUUUGCAACAAAUGCACCUCGGAGACCCUUGGUUUUAAGUUUCUGUUCAAUCUAAUGCGUUACCCUUCUUCCUUAUGGUCGAUAGUACUGGUGUGCGGACAAGUAGGGAUUAACUGGGAAUUUGGAUCGCCGUCUUUUCAUUGUGCUAUGUUUGACAUAAUGUAGUGAUAUACAUAAGCUAGGUUCUGGCUGCUUGUCAGGUUUAACUAGUGAGUCUUAAGCUCAAAUCAGAAGGAAUGGGAUUUUGGGAUUAAUUGUUUCAUUGUUAAGUAUACCCUCUUUUUUUUCUGAGUGAUUCGAAAAGAUGCCAUAUUCAUGUCACUGAAUAGGCACACCUCUUGUAGCAAUUUCACACAAAAGAAAACAUGUUCUUGUAGUGAUAUACUUUGGGAAUAGUUCCAUGAGCAUUGUAUUUAUAGAUAACAAUGGAAAUCGAAGUUACCCAGUAAAUUAUGCAUGUCUAGCCCAGUGGCUCAAUCAUAUGCACUUCCAGAGCAUCUGAUUUUCUUUUGUAAAUGACAGAUACAUGAUUUGAAAAACGAAAACGAUUCUCUUGAUUGAAUUAUAUGAUUUAUAUGAUGGAGCAUUUUGGAUUAGUUCAUCCUAAAUUUGGAUGAUGGCAUAGUUUGUGCUCCUAUAUCCAGUGACUUCUGGUGACUAUGCAAUAAGAGUUAUUGUGUGGACAGAUACGGGUCAAACAUUUCUUUCACAUGAUAAUUGCUCUAUUCUUCACAAAAUGGGUUCCUUGGUUAAACAGCGAUCUCACUGAACAACAUGCCAUAAGUAUUUAAGCUAGGAUAAACAUUUUUUCUUGGAAGAGAAAUGACUAUUAAUAUAGCUUUUGUGAUUGCUACAAGCUAGGCUAAAGUAUGCAGUGCUUGGAACCUACAUAUUAAUAUAUCAUACAAUAAAACGGUAGCAUGUAUAUUUACCUAGGAGCUGGUUUUGUAUGAUAUUUAUUCAUUCUGAAUUGCUUCACGACGGAAAAUCUAGUCAUGAGCUACAGCCUGUAUUCGUAAAGGAAUCGUGACCUAGGUGUAUGAAUCAUUGUGUGUGGUGAUAAAUUGGCAUAAUGCCAUAGCUUUUGCUUGUAGCAUCAGUUAGGUUUAAUUAGACAAUAAGGGUUAACACAGCGAUAGGUGUGAUCUGACCAUCUGCUGCAAAGCACUUAAUCUAUCUUAUGAGGGAUAUAGCUUAUAACUGAACAUCAUGUGUUUCAUAGUAGCAGUAUUGUCAUGCUUAUGCUUGGAUUAACUCCCUGUUUGGAUAAACAUAAUUCUAACCAACUUCCUUGAUGGAAGCUUGACAUUUCAACAGUUGAUGAAUAGUUUAUACAAAUUCUGGUGCCCACGGUAUGCUACAAAUUUGUAACUGGUUAUAAUUCUAUGAUAUUACUUAGUUAUUGGUCAAGAUGGAAUGCAAAAAACUGUCAGUUGUCAACAGAACUUAGUCCAGACUGAAGCAUGUGCUUGUAUCUAUUAUGUUGGCUAUCAAGUCUGAUGUCCACCUUAAUCUGUAAAUGCCUCUUUGGCAGGAAAGAGCAUUCAGUCUGCCCUAAUUGGAGGCUCCUGCCUGGCUUUCACAUCUGCUAUACUGGACAUUGGCGGCAAUACUACGAGAGUGGACAACGGCAAAGAAUACUAUGCCUACACAACCGAGAAGAAGCCUGCUCAUUGAUUUAAGCUCGUGUACUUGUAGCACAAAUCAUGCAAGCCAUCAGCUCGGUGAAUUUUGAAGUUGAUGCGCGCUUUUAUGUCUGUUUUGCUGAUGCACUUAGUUCCUUUGCAAAUCCAUGGCAACUUGUUUGCCUCUGAUGCUUGAGAGGGACGAACAUAACGCUCAGAAUAAAUCUUUGAUUUGCUUUCUUGUGAUCAUUGAUCAGUAUAAACGCACGUGGCGCAGUAUGAUGUGUAAUUCUCUACUUUCCCCCUUGAUAGAACAUGGAAUGCAGCUCCUUUAUUGUGAUAAUGCCUCAGAACAAGAACGCAUGACAAUUCAUCAUCAAUAGUUGGUAGGAAAAAAAAGAAACCUCAAACAGCGGGCUAUAAAUAGUGAUAUAGACAACAAGAAGCAGUCUCUAGGAUAAUCUUUUUUUAGUAGCUUAGUGUUUAUCUUUUUUUAGUAGCUCAGUGAUGUAGGGCAACGAAGAUGGACGAUGGCCGGAACCGGAUACGCCAGACAUCAGUGUAGAUAAAUAAUUACAAUUGCAGUAGGGCAAGCUUAAAACCAUCAACACAAUGCAAGCUCCUCAAUGUUAACAACACUAAGUUUGUGCAUACCAAUGCUAAAAAGAAGACUACCAAAAUUAACAACCUAUAGAUGAAUGUUAUUUCACUAUGCACGGGAAAGGCACAUGUAAUUUAGAGCAGCAGUUACUCACGAACACACGCUAAGUCAAUAGAAACCAGAAAUUGUAACGCCACUGUUGGUUAACAAUUUUGUGUAACAACCUUGGGACAAAAUGUGUAUCGACUACAAACUUAUUAGUUGCAUGGAUUAACCUUUACAUCAGUGGUCUAUCAAUGACGAAACAAUUGUGUUGUUUCUCGUAAAGAUUAUUGAACCCCUAGGAACCUCGCCAAAAUAAAUGAACUCACUCUUUGCCACCAUGUGGACGUGACAAUCCCUAUGGAAGUAAAAACUGAAAUCACCCUAGAAGCCCAAAACUGUUACAAAAAAAGAACUUCUCUAGCCCCUAUGACUUCUGUUUUGACUUCUGCUUCUUCGACUCCAAUGUCGUCCCCAAUCCAACCGGUGUGUUGCCAGUUGACUUGACAGAUGGCCCGUUGGUAUCUGCGGCCUUCACUUCUGAAGCAGUUCCGUUUUGAGCAGGUCCGUUAGAUGCCUGACCUUGCGAUGCUGAUUCUUGAGUGUUUGCAGUGGCAGAGGCGGUAGACGCUGCAGCAGCUGAGUUGAUAAGUUUGAGAAUCUGAGCAAGUUCAUCGGAUGCAUUGUUUGCAACAGGCCCACUGCGCACAUUAAGGCCUCUUGCAACAGCUUUCUUCCGAGCUUCUGCAGUUGCUCGAGCAGCUCGCUCAUCAACCCCUCUCAAUCGUGGUAGACCUUCUCCCACAACUGCAGCAUUAAGUGAUCUGUUGACAUUUGCUGAUCCAUCACCUGAUUGGAUAGCAGCAGCCUUCAUUGCUUGUAAAAAUGCAGGAUUUGCCUGAAGAUGCAGCAUGGAAAAAAUUCAAUGCCACCAUAAAUCAAAAUACUGGAAUUGAUAUCCACAUCAGGAAUACUAAAAAAGAAAUUGUGGAAUGAGAUAAUAUAUGCAGAGUAGAAGUAGCAUACAAGCAUAGUAAUAUAAAAUACUCCCUCCGUCCCAAAUUACUGUUCAUUUUGACUACGUUUCUAGACAUACCAUAUAUCUAGGUGCAUAGCAAAAGGUAUGGACCUAGAAAAGCCAAAACGAAUAGUAAUUUGGGACGGAGGGAGUAAAAAAGAACAAGGAUUAUGAUCAAACAUUACUACCUAACAGUCCUGGUUUCUUGGAGGCAUAUGGAUAAAGGCAAUAAAGCCAGAUGAAUUUCAGUUAGCGUAGAAGGAAUGUUGAAAUUUGCUUACCUUCAAGAAUUUAAUAGCAUUAUCAGAUGCAUCAGUUCCCUGGCCCUUUUGCUUCUGGGCGUUAACCUGUGCAAAUAGACGAUAAAAUAUUGGUCGUGCAAGCAUAUAAAAGGUAUACAGAGCAUCAGACUAAAAACAGUGCAUUUUUGGAAAGAUUUUGCAGUACCAGUACAAUUAUAAUUGAAUAUUAGGAAACACUCAGGAAUCUUAGGGUCAUAAGUUAAUCGACCAGUAAAAUUUCUCGCUGAGUGCAAAGCUUAUAUAACUAGGCCUAGACAGUUGGUUUAUAAACUGUAUCCAGUGUUUGUAAACUUCAGCUUCCAGAAAAUGAAAAUGGAUCGUGCUGGGGGAAAAAUCGCAAAAACCUAGGCUUUUCAGUUUGCACCAAAUGCACCAAGGUUCCUAACAGGAAGACCAACAGGCAACAACCUUUCACAACCAGUUCUGUCACAAAACGAGCCAACAGAAAAUCCCCAGUAAACAACCCAUCAGCAACCAAAAUGUACAAGCACUGAAAUCAACGAAGAUGCACUGAGAUCCAUGUUGUCAAGUUCUUGUGAAAAGGUUGUCUCGGUGCUAGGGUUUUUUCAAGGGCUGAAAACUGAAGAAAACUAGGUUGUAUAAUUGACGUGUGAAAUGGUUGUCUCGGUGCUUGGGUUUUUUCAAGGGCUGAAAACUGAAGAAAACACUGAACCCCAACGGUAACCAAACCACGAAAAAAACGAUAACUUAAAUGGUUCAGGUUCGGUUCAGUUCUUCUGUGUCAAUGUAAAUAUGCCCAGCCCUACGCAUAACACAAAUAUACUGAACGAUUUAGCCAAAAUCACAAUCCAUCAUUCUCCUAAAGAUAAUUAUGCAAUACACCCCCCUUUGCAAUAUUCAGAAAAGUAGAACGCUAGCUAAUCAAACAAUUCCAGAAAUUAUACCUGCUCUUCUCGAACCUUAAAUGUACCCAACCAAUUUUCUGAGUCCUUAGUCCGAGAGUCAUUUUCCCCUAAUUGUUUUGCCAGUAUAUCAUAAGUCUUCUUUUCAUGCUGUCAUGAAAAGCCAACACGUCAGGUCAACAGUUUCUAAUAAUUAAUGCUUGUAUAAAUUUGUAUAAGCCAAUAUUUUAUGUCAGAACUAACCUGAAUUGAAAGCUUGUAUAAUUGCAUACAACUGAAUGCAAUUGCAAGGGCAUGAUAGCAAACGGCUGUUUGAACAUGAUCUGGACCAAGAAGCCGCUCAUUCUUCAUAAGUGCUUCUUGGAGAUACCUAAGAGCAGUAUUCAUAUUACUGGCAUCCUGGUACAUCAUUGCAACAUUUAUGAGUGUUGCUGCAACAUCCGGGUGAUCAGGACCUGACGCCAAACUUAGAAGAAGCAGUGUGCGGGACAUGUGUCGCAGUGCGAGUUCAGUUUGAUUGAGCCCAUGAUAGAAUAAAGCCAUGUUACCAUAACUGCAAAAGAUAUGGAUUCCAAAGAAAGUAAGACUUCCACGAUAAAAGAUAGUAAAAUGCAUGUGCCAAAGCAAAGAAUAAAGAAUAGUAUGCUCUUUGUUUAAUGAACAUUAAAAAUAUAACAUGGAAGUUAUGCACAAACACUAAGAAGAAGCUGAAAAAAAUCUGACAACUUAAUUUCUUGCAUGACCUACUCGCCCAGCAACUAACCUAAACAUUCAAAUUUUCUAGCAGAUGUUCAUUUUCCAGAACAAACUUAAUGGAAACUUUUCAGUGAAAUUCCAUUUGUUCCUUCACAAUUUAGUACGAAUGAUGGGAUUUAGCGUUGGCUGCAAGUUCUCCAACGAAAACAUCAAAUUAAUGUGAGAUUUAAAGACAGCAUCAAAAUUCUAGAAGUAUGUUCGAAUUAAAAAGCAGCACAUACCUGUGGGCUGUGUCCGGAUGAUCAAGACCAAGACAUCGCUCGUUUAUAAUGAGUUCUCUAUGCUGCUGCACAAUUGCUCCAGCUGUAUCACCAGCAUGGUACAAAACCAUAGCAAGGUACCUAUAACGAAACGAGAACAAAGAUUUCUUUUAAGAAUUUGAAUCUUAUUGUACAGAGCAAUAAAAGCAAAUAGUGAGUCGCGAAAAAAAGAAAAGAAAAGUGGUAACUGCUUGACUUCUAAACAUAUUCUACAUGUGACUGGACAUCAUAUCCCUCAUGUAAUAGUCCUCGGACAUACAUGCACAGCAGCACAAGGCACUUCAUAUGGGUGAAAACAGUAGACAUGUACACAACUACACACUAAAGAGUGGCAUAUAGCACGAUCUACAAAAUGGAGAAUGCAGCGUAAAAUAUCCAUUAGAUAGUUGAAGUUCUCAUAAUGUGUGCCUUCCUUAUGGAACAAUACCAAUACAAUAGCGAUGUAUUAGGAAGUUAGCAUACUACCGGCAACAGUUCGCAGCAUCCUUGUGCAUGGGACCAGUUAUCUGCAAUUUCAAAGGUCAAGUAAAUACGAGAAGUUCUGCAGAUGUCAUAAAUAGCUUAUGUGCAUACCUGUUGAAGCAGUGAAAAGGCUUCAGAAAACAAUGCAUAGGCCUCAUUCAGGGUUCCCUGAAAUGCUCAAGUGCAUUAAUAAAUUUUCCACAGAUGAGAAAAGAAUAACAAACAAAGGUAAAUUUUGGCAAAAACCAUAAAACCACAAGAGGUAUACCUCAGCCAUCCUGACUUUCCCUGCUUCCAUAAGAUUCUUUGCGUCAGUACAGGUAGGAACCGAAUGCUUGACAACUGGUUGGAGAUUUAAUAUAUCUGAAGCUUCGAAUGGAGUUGAAGCAUCCAGAUUGUAUUUGCGGGCUGCAAUAGUUAUCCCUACCUGUUAUGCGUAGAAGAAACAGUGACAGAAAUUAGUGGAUGUACAAACAGCGACAUAUGAUAAUCUUAACAUGCCAUCUAUAAACAGAAUAACAAUGGUCAUUAUUUAGUAAAAUACGCACACUGGAAUUCCUUGAAUGCCAAACUACUUCAAUUUGUCAGUAAAUACAAUAACAAUGCUACAAACAGAAGUACCAUGGCAAGGUAGAACGGUACCAACCUUUUGGCAAAGAUUGCGGAGAACAGAAACCCUUUUGGCUGAAAGCCUUGCAUCAUCAGGCACUUCAAACUAAAAGAAACGAAAACCAUUACAAUUAGUGUGUUCUUCAAAUAGAAAAGUUUUUAAGGCCUGAAAUAAAUGAAUUACCUGAUAUUUAGAUUUUGCGAAUUCCUUAAUACUAGACCAAAUUCCAUCAGAUGUUAGAUGGGAAUAUGUUGAUAAGCCCUUUCUUGAAGCAGCAGAAUUGUUUAGUUUCUGGCCCUUCGUAGACUUUUGAGUUUGGCUAUUUUCAUGACCCUGAAAAUACCAAAAGGUUUUACAGUUACAAUAUGAGCUAAAACACCAAACAUAUCUACUAAGAUAUAUCAAGACUCGAGAGUAGAGUUUGUUGCAGAUAUAAGUGUCACAAGAUUGCCACGCUUGGGAUCACAUACCUUCUUUGACUGGGCAUUGCCAAGGUUACCCUUUGUAGAUGCACCCAAAACUUUCCCAACAAAACAGUUCAAGAAAUGAGCAAUAGCUGGUCCAAUAUCAUGAUCCAGGCUUUGCCUCAAUAUUUCCUUGAGUGAUAAAAAACAAUUGGGUAAGCAUACAAGUAGAUGUCGACCACGAUAGAAGGAAGUAGACAUGAAUAACUAUAACAAGAUGACGUGAACUGAAUGGAUUGGUACAACAAAUUGAAUAUAUCUUGCAGCCUGCACUAAACUAUGCAGAAAAAUAAAUCAUUCACGUUACAGGAGUAAGACAGCAUUAACUGGAUGUAUGCCAGUCAGAAAACCAAACAUUUAUUAUAAUUUUACACAUUCCUAUGUUUAUAAAAAUUUGCAGCAAAUCCUUUCAUAUAACACCCCGAAAGAAACAAACUCAGGAGCUAGCAUAAUAAGAAAAGAUAUACUACCUUGAUCACAUGCUUUGCAGACCUAACUAUUAUCUCAGCAGAAAACAAAUCCCACAGAUGUGGUAAAUGUUUGAUCAUGCCUGCAAUCUGAGAGAAGAAUUAUACUAUGAGCAGGAUAGAUGAAAUGUAAUGUCAAUGUCAGCUGGAUCAGCAUGGAGACUCACUUUGCCCAGGUACCUAACAUUUAUCCCAUGGAGAUGCAGUGCAUCGGUUAAAGUUUGUCCAUCCAUAGGAGAGAUAUCAAGGGAGCAAAGGUCCUGAACAAACUUCGGGAUCACUAUUUCUAAAAGAUAUGUACCAGCCCUUUUUACCAACUCUUCAUCUGCAGAAAUUUCCUAGUAAUAGAAAACAGUAGAAAGUUAUCAAAUUGGAAUAUGGUUAUUUUACAAAAAGUAGUUUUGAAGACCAACCUCUGGACUGCCAGCAAGCUUGUACUCUGUAAACACGUUCGGAUUGAAAAAGAUCUCGGCACUUGAGUUGUCAUUUUCCUCACGUGUAGGAGCAGAACUUUCUUCAGACUUGUCAUCAUCUUCAACAGAGGAAGCCUGAAAUGAUGGAAAUAAAUUUCCAGCUUACAAAUGUAAUGUGAAACAAUACCUUAUUUUAUUCAUCUUGUCUAGUCCCUUCGACCUAUGUGAGCACAAACUAAUUCAAUAAUCAUCAAGGGUUAAACUGGCAACAGUGAUUUGUUAUACACCACUGGAUAUGUGACCUUUAGAUAACCAAAUUAUGAUCAUGGAUGCAAAACUGGAGGGACAUUUGAACAGCACAAAAUAAGACAAAUUCAACGAUCUUGCUUUAUUGGAGUUGCGUAUGAUCAGUAGCUUAUUUAAGUACAGCGCUUCUGAGCAAACAGCCAGAACAACUAGAUUCUAUGAGCGCAAACCUUUGCAUCAGAAGUACUCGCAACUUGGUCAUUGGAUUCUUCCGAAGCAUCUGGAACUUUCUGCCUGGUGGAUUGCUUGGUCGAUUCAGCCUGCUCAAAUAUAAAUAAAAUGCAAUUAGAAAUUUUCACAAAUGAAACCAUGCAACAGCUUGACAAAUAAGGUUAAAAGAAUAUGUGAUGAGCUGACCUCAACAAAUGAGGCUACAAGUUCAGGUCUCAACACGCAGAAGCGAUGCUCUUGCCCAAUGUAGUUAGAAUCUCGCGGAGUCACUCUCAUCAAAUCUAAAAUGUAAUGCCUACAUAAAGGAAUAAUCCAAACAAUUUAAACAAAUAUAUUGAUAUGACUACAAGGCCUCAUGCUAUUAGUGUAAAAGGAAAAGGAAUAGCUCGCAAGAAAAACAAAGUAACAACAAAAAUGGAGAGAGAGAAUUUUUUAUUGUUUACAGUUCAUGUAAUGUUAACAGGAUUGCCAGAACCCAACCUGCUCCUUGCAUUCGUAGAAAAAAUGUAAAAGUAAUUACCAAGUGCUGAGCCUUUUAAGCAUUAAAAAUUAAAAUGUAACAAGUGUUUUCAUGUUUGAACAGAGACCAGUUUUCUUCAAAAAUAAAAUUACCUGUCGUCACUUCCAACAAUGCCCUUACAUUCGACUGUAGCAGCUAACUUUACAGGGUUGCCAGAACCAUCCAAAACCACAUGCUCUUUCAAAUGGAGCCGCUUUGCAGCCUCGACUACCUAAAGCAGCAAUAGCCAACAUAGAAUUAACAAUAAAUACUCGAAGGACAAGGACGACAAAAAAAACUGAAAUUAUAUUAAUAUAAGCUUGGAGUGUAAACAGGAAUGUUGAAUUAAAAAACCAUUGCCAAAAGCUGGGUAGAAACAUGUACAUAGAAUAGAAUAAAUAUGUAGCGUACCAUGACAGAUAACCACCAAAGAACUAAGAAUCAAGUGUGAUCAUUGCAAGUUUCUUAUACUCGCUAAUGAAAUUCUAGUAAAGACCUUCAACAGAAACAAAUAAAGAUGCCCAACAAAACCCAAGAUGCAAGGAACUCAGUCACCAACAAUUUUGAAACAGGCAAAAUAGUAACUCAGUAAGCAAUACUAAGUAUAUCAUGCAAUUUUAGUUGCGGUGCUGGUACUUUAAACCAACUCCUAUCAAUUAUCAUAAUACUUCAUUGCGGCAUCAGUUAACAUAAAUUUGAACUGGACUAGAUGUUGAGGUUCACACCAAACUUUGAGUCCCCUAACAAAGAAACUAAAAAUGACUUUUCAGAUUUCUUUCAACAGAGAAAAUUGUCCACUCUUGCAUUACAAUUUACCUUUGAAUGGAAAGAUUCAUUCCAAGAUAUCUUCUUGCCAUUAUCAACAGAACCAUACAGAAGGGAAUCAGACUUGUCUCCUUGGAGAAUACCAGGAAUGAUACUCUACAAGUCCAGAAUAAUUGGAAAAGGCACAUCAGUAGCAGCUUAGCUUGUCGUUUAUGACAUCUUAAAAUAAUAUAUUAAAAUUACAGAAAUGCAUGGUUCAAACAGCAAAAGAUUCUAAAAGCGUUAUAUACCAGAAAAUGUUUACUAUACAGACCUGAGCUACAACCCUGUGACCUCUGUAAUCAAUUAUUGCCAUGGCAAGAUUGUAAAGGCCAGAAAUAUCAGCUUCUUGAUAAGCCUUAGUUCCUUUUAAAUCAUUGUUUGCAGAAGCAUAGGUCGCCUGCUCACUAUCUGCAAUUUGUGCCUCUGCAGAUGCAUCCGAACUAAUGUCUGAAACACUGUUGGAUACCUCCAUGGAUCCACCAUGGUUCAUACCAGGCUUAGCCCCCACAUCCGGUGAAGAAACUUUAGUGCUUUUGCUGGGCCCAUUUUGGCAGUCUGGCUUUUGAUCCUUUGAAAUGUGUUCAUAGUCAGAAUCGACAGCAAAACUAAAGAAAAUGUUGUUGUGAACAUACCUGGAACAUAAAAAUAAAACAGGUAAGAAGAAAGUAAAACAAUAUUAUCAAGUUACUCAAAUAAGAGUUGAUCAGGCAUAUAUACAUCGGAACAAGGUGGCUUCGUGCCCACUACGCGCUAUCAUCAUCAUCAUAUAUAAACUCAACAUUACACCGGUACCCAAAUCCCAUAUCAAAACAUACGCAAAUCCAGACAUCAUAUAUAAAAGUAUAUUGCCAGCAACUGAUUAUAAACUUACUAAUCCAGUACAGCAAAUAAUCUUUUGAGGUCAAGCAGUCUGAUCUUAAGGCAGAAGCAGGUACAAAGGUGCUAUGAGAAACAUUAUUCUACUCUCGAAGGCUAUUGUAUUUACUCACAUAUGAAAACAUUCUGGAUCAGUUGGAUUAAUUGGGGGUAUGCAUCUAUUAAUGACACCAACUGCCCCUUUCACAGCAGCAUCAACAAAAUCACAUGUUACUUUGUAGAGAGCUCUGCCACGCAAUAUCCUGAAAUGGGCAAUAAAUAAUGAGUUCCUACAUGUAUAAAGCAGGCAAUCCAUAAAGUGCAAUAGUAACUAUUAACUAAAGAACCUUUCUUGAGGAUUCCCGUGCGGAAACUCCCGACAGGACUGCAAUUCUUCAUUCCAGUCUCUCUGCAUGCCAAUCAGUUCAGUGCCAUAUGAUAACACCACAGACUCCUCAGCCCUGGCGGCAUCCCUUCUAUGCUCUGUUACACAUACGAAUGUGGAGUGCCUUCAGAUCUCAUAAGACAUGAGUGCAUACCAGAUUAAUAUUAGUAAGGUUAUAUCAAGAUAUUUAUAUCAAUAUCAAAUAUCAUUAAUAAAGAAAAUUAGAAGGGUAAGAGGUUCCAAGACAUGGCAGGCACUGGCUGAAAAGGAAUCAGUAUGGCGGCAAUGCCUAUGUAGUUUAUAAAGCCAAAAGUACAAGUUGAAACAAGAUAUAGAUAGUGCUUGGUAUACUAGAGUUAUAGCUGAAGCAUGCCUAAGGCUGGCUAUCUGGCCAAUUUCUUGCCACAGAAAUGUAGGGGGAAAGUAACAUUAGGCAAGGAUAUAUAACAGUUUAAGCCAUGCCAGCACCAAAGCAUCCAAAAAUACAGUAUUGGAUAGCUGUUUUAGAGUUGUGAUCAAUAACAUGGUCAACAAGGAAAUCUGCUGGCAAAAUUACCUGGAACAGGAUGAGCACCUAACCAAGAAGUCACUGGAAGCAAAGACUGAACAUUCUCAAAUGGAUGAGCCGAUGCCCUACGAUCCAAGAUUUCACGAAAACCUUCAAAAGUUUUGUCCAAUUGUCAGCAUAGAUUAAACAGUGUGGUGAGACCAACACCUUACAGAUAAAGCCUAGAUUAAUAGCAAACCUUUCUUAAACUUGGCACUGAUUUUCUGUAGUAAACCUACAAGAGUGCUGGCCUCCAGACCUUGUUUUGUAGGUUUUGGGUCCAAUAUACUUCCAUUGCUACAGUUCACGUAAAAAGAUUUGGAGUUUCCUGUAAUGCAGUACUUGUUUCCUUCUAAUGUGACAACAUCAAUAUAAAUGAGAUCUCCAUGCAACCUGAGGAAAAGCAUCAGCAGGAGUUAAUUCAAAAAAAUCCCUACUCAAGGGUGACAAGCUUAUGACAAUGUUACAGGCGUUCAGGGUCUUAAGCCCAUUAGGCAUACAUGCAUCUAUUAACAAGAAACAAAUGCAUCCUCAGAAAAGGAAUACACAGAACAACCAAACACUACAUUAUCCAGAAUUACUGCAUAACAAAAAAAAGGAAGGAAGGAAGGUGAAGCAUCCUAGCCCAAAUAAACCUUUAGCCACAUGCCCAGAGUUGGCCAAACUUAAGGAAAUAUUGAAUGAUGCUUCUAUGCUAGUUUGAUUCACCCUUUGGGUUAAUAAAAUUGUAAAGCACAGGCAGACAAGCUAAAGGCUGACUUAACUUAUCAAGCACUCCAAUAUUUGUGGAAAACAGAAAGUAUAUAGCACCAAAGUACUAGCUAUAAUCUUUUCAUUGCAAUGUAGCAUAGAUUAAAAAGCUAAUUGUACUCUUUCCAGAGUUCUACAAACAGGUCUUAACUUUCAGAACUUAUAUGGCUUGAUAACAGCACAGUUAUAUUGAAAGUGAGAGGAUCAGAUCACAUUGACUGAUUACAACAGAAUGAAGUAACCGUUGAAUCGGGCCAACUACGAAACCUAGCUGACUUAUUUUUAUAAAUUAUAACAAUGGGUCUAAAAAGAUAUUCAAGGAUAACAUGACAAUGAUAAAAAUGCCAGACAUCAGAAUUACCUCCGGUAACUUGGUGGAGGAUUGAAAGACGAAAAAACUAUGCUUUCAACGCAUUUUAUCUCUGCUUGUGCAGAUGCCAAUAAAUUAGUGAGAGCACCAGCAGUAUCCUCCAUAAAAUUUAAACCAUCAAGCUCCUGAAUAACGGUUUUCUCAGAAUCUGCUCAGCAGGGUUAGAAUCAAAGUCAACAUCCACAUCAGGUUCAUUUAAGAUUUGCAUGCAAACCACAGUUUCACUAACAAACAUUACAGUUGUGAAACACCAAAUAUGGAAAAUAUGAGUAAACCUGCAGACCAAAAAAGUGGGAGCUGAUGCACCUGCAGAUUUUCCCUGAGCAGACUCCUGCUGCAGAGCUAAGGAUGUGGACAGAGAAACAUGAAGACUUGAGAGUGAUAGUAGCUCCCUCACACGUCGGAGAUGCGACCUAAUAGACCUCUCAUCAUAUAUUGCUGAAAGAAGAUUUGCGUCAGCUCCAUGAAAUAAAUGUUGAUGGAAAAAUAGAGAAGAAACUGAAACAUGUUACAUACCCGCAACCAUCUCUAAUGAACAGCCACCGGAAGUUAUAUCUGCAAUUUCAGAUAUUUCAUUGUAGUCCUCUAACUGAUGAGUUGAACCAUCUUUAGUAUGCAAGAUCAAAUCGUAGCAUGUAUAGAAGCAAGUUUCAGGAGCAUCCAAGAGGAAUUGUUUGACAUCAAUGACAGAAUCUCCAGGGCUUAGCUGUAAAUAAUAGCAUAGAAUGAAAUACAUUGAACUAGUAAAGAAAAAUAGAGAAACAAAGAAAGCUUUUUACAGUACCUGCAACUCAAGCUUUUCACCGGAUUGUGUCCUGACAGGAACAGAGUACAGAUAAAGCUCUCCUGCUCCAGACAACAUAUUUCCUUGUUAAAGAAGCAGCAUAUGUGCAGGAAUUUUCCAUUAAAAAAGCAUGCAAGAAAGGAAUUUAAAGCAAAAAACAACACAUAAAAAAUGCUAAAAUUCCAUAGAUAGAAGCUCACAUAGUCCAACUGGAAUGUGUAAUCUAAUUAAAAUGACGACUCUAACAGAGCUAGGCCAGAAAAUUUUUAGACCAUUAUAUUAGUACAAGGGACUUCUUACUAUUUUCAAUAUAUUUAUAUCCAGAAUUGUUAGUUUUGGCACAGCCACAUAAAGCAUCGCAGCAGCAUACAACAUGCCACUCAUUUAGCAUAGGUUCAGUCCAAAUCACAUAAUCAUUAAAUGAAAAGUAUUUGGGCCACUUGUAAAGCUGCAUCCAUGUAGAACACCAAGGUGUUCACUGUAUCGCUAUUCAUUAUUGAGUGUUACAAUACAACUACAGUAUGACAGUAUCAUCAGUGAAGCAAACAAGCCGUGGUCUCACCUUCAGCUUGCUUUUUUGCAGGCUGUGCAGCCACUGGCGCAUCCCCCUCCGACUUCUCGGCAUCUGCAACACCGCCCUCUGCAGCAGGGGAUUCAGUUACUUCCCCAUUCUCUGGAUUGACCACUUCGCCGCCGUCAGUGACCGUCAGCUCUGGCUCGGCCGGAACGGACUGACCCGUGCCCUGUGCCUUCCCCUUGUUCUUCCCACCCUUGGACUUCCCCGCCAUAUUCCUGCUCAAGCCAGAAACCAGCAAUAGCAAAUCUAAUCAGCCCCCAUAAAAAUACAAUUUUUAGGCGCAACAAACACCGCGGCUCUCUAAAGCGGCCGAGAAACAUCGCCAGCUCCACUAAACCCCCAACGGAACCAAGCCCCGGUCGAGCGCACGAUCCGCAGCAGGAUCAAAACCCUAAACCCCUCCCACCAAAUCGAGACCCCUCGAGCUCAGCGGAACGCGCGAACCAGACGGAUUCGAUCGAAGUAGCAUGCACGGAGAGGGGAUUCGGGUGGGGGGAUCGAGGGUGACCUGCCGCUGCCGCCGCCGCCGCCGGCACGGAAGCUUCGGCUCCGCGAGGAUGAGAGGCGGCGCGAGGGCGAGGCGCUGAGGGAAUGAUUGGGCGAGGGGCUGUUUGGGUAAAGCGGGAGGAGGGAGGCUGCAGCCCUCGCCGGCCGCUCCUUUUAUACGGGUGGGCGGACCCUCCUAAUCCCCCCGUGGGCACCUGGCCUCUUGGCCUCUUGGGGCUCUCGGUGAGGCGCUCCCGUCGCGUCGGGUUGGCUUUCUCUUCUUGUUUUCCCAUAGCCGCGCCUGCGCACGCGAGGCGGUGAUAUUUCUGGCGUCCGGUAGGGGUAAUUUUGGUAGUUUCUGUGGGAGCCCACCUCGGCGUGGGAUUUAGGAGGGCUGUUAGGGUUUUGCGUGGGGUUUAGGCGGCUCAAAGACUCUGGCGAACGCUGACUAACGAAGAUGUCAAGUAACUAUUGCCUUCUUCUAUGUUAGCGUUUGUAAUAUCUUGUCACACGUGAGUGUAGUGUCGUUUGUGUUUGUUGACAUCUUUGAUCAUCUUAGACUAACUUUUUAUUACUCGUUUUGUUCUAAAUUGUAGGUCGUUUAUAAAUAUUUAUAAAUCUAAUAAAGUCAAAACGACCUAAAUUUGGAAUAGAAAGAGUACAUGGCAAUAUAGGAGCAUAGCAUUAGAAAUUCAGAGAAAAAUAUAUUUUGGAAAGUCAUGCUCAUGCUUUAUGCAUCGAACUAAAAUUGGUUGUUUUUAUUCCCUAAUCAAUCGGUGUGUGCUAUGUAGAUUCCGUUACUUCUUACACAUGGCCAUAAUAACUGUGACAUGCUCAUCACCUGUGGUGGUUUUAUUGACGUGUCAUCACCUGUGGUGGUUUCAUUGACCUGUUUAGGAACUUGACCCUCAAGUCAUGUGUAAAUGUAGUUUUGGAUGUGUACGCGGAUGGUGGAUGGUGUGAAUGGAUGUACCAAUGUUUGCGUGAGGCUUACGGCGUGGGAAUCCACACGUGUAGAAAAAAGGUUCUCAUAGCAUCUAGUGUUGCUACUCAAUCUACGUAGAAUUAGAAACGUUCUAGCCAUGGGAGUAACGGACCGAACUUUAUCAUACAUUUCUAAUCUCAAAAAAAAUGAGGUAGUACAUGAUUUGAGAUCCAUCCAAAUACAAAAUCGAUUGUAGAAUCAACAUAUAAAAUUAUCGAAAAUUGACCAUCUCCUAUAAAUUUUUACGGCACCUUGUGUUAUAUUUUAUUAUUUGAGCUAAAAAGAUACUCCUCCGCCCUAAUAUUAAUUAUCAUUAACUUUAGGUUUGUCACAUGUUCAAUUUGUCCAACUUUAACCAAAUUUAUUAAAAGAUACAAUAACAUCUACGAUACCAAAUUAUUUUUAUUAAAUCUACUAUAGGAUAUUUUAAUAAUAAAUUUGUUUUAGUAUAUAUUAUUUUUUUUAUAAAUUUAGAAAAAAUGACAAAUUUGGUUUAAUAUAAAUAAAUAAUAUUUGGGGACCGAGGGAGCAGUGAAUAAUGAUCCAUGUAUUAUGUAUCCUAUAUUCAUGUAUAUUUAUAUAUAGCUAUAUUUUACCGGUCCAUGACAUAAUAAAUUGGACAGAUCUUGCACCAUUUAACUAGGAUAAGAAUUAUCUGUCUCACAACGACAUUGAUUCAUGCGUCGGUAGGUAGAUGUAAGAUAUUGCCUGUUGGCAACGCAGCGGAGACAAUCGAUAGUGCACAUAUAUUUAUUCGAAUGGGAAACAUGUUUAAUUUUAGCGCAUGUAUUGCAUUUCCUUCUUCAAUUCAGCAUACUUUUGAUCUUUGGAAAAAAGAAAAUGUCAAGUCAGAAAGCAACCGCGAGUGGAUACACAGAAGGCUUUUUGUCGAUCUGGACGCACACCUCCAAUCGCGUGCGCUAGUGUGCAGCUGCGGCCCAGACCGCGAGGAUCUCUAUCCAAAUUCCAAGCCGGUUUCGUGCGCACCCGGUUUGGCGUUCCGGCUCCGGCUCUCCCUCUCCGAUCCGUUACUUGACGCAUCACUCCUCCCCUGCCCCAGGCUUUCCAUUCCCACACCACACCGCACCAAUCACCGCCGCUGCACCGCGCGGGUGCCUGAUCCUCCCUCGCAUUUCAACUCGCCCCUCCCGCUCCGCGCCGCGCAGCCGCAGCCGCAUGGACCUCCCCGUGGUGGAUCUCGCGCCGUUCCUCGGGACCGCCGCCGGCGGCGGGGCCGCGGAGGUGGGGGAGGAGGUGCGCGCCCUGUGCGCGACGGUGAGCGCCAGCCUGCGGGACACGGGGGCGCUGCUGGUGAAGGACCCGCGCUGCUCCGCCGCCGACAACGACCGCUUCCUCGACGUCGUCGAGCGCUACUUCUCCCGAUCCGCCGAGGCCAAGCGCCUCCAGGAACGGCCCCACCUCCACUACCAGGUAGCCCCUCCCUGUCGCUUCUCUGUAUCCUACUAGGCAGACUCUGCAUUCGGUUUGGUGCGGAUCGGGGGCGAAAGUUUGGGAAUUCGGAAGGUUCUGAACCCAAAAUUCACCCCUCUGCCUCUGGCAAGGAGGAUCAUCACUGCUUGUGUUGAAUCAAGACCACCAGGGUGAUCCCCGUGACUGUGAUCCGUCCUAUGGCUUAUCGAUCCAUCCUAUGAUUGUGCUCAAUGUAUGUGGUGAAAACCGAAAAACCUGAUUUGUCCCUGUUCCUGAUAAGGUUGGCGUGACACCAGAAGGGGUGGAGGUUCCUCGCAGCUUGGUCGACAAGGACAUGCAGGAGAAGAUCAGGAGUAUGCCCGAGGAGUUUCAGCCAGCCACCCCUAAAGGCCCAGACCCGAAAUGGCGGUACAUGUGGAGAGUUGGUCCUCGGCCCGCAAAUACCCGCUUUAAGGUUGCAAUUCCUCUGUGACCUUUUCCGUGCGAUGUCAAAAUACUUGCUUUAAGGUCGAGAUUCCUUUGUGAUCUUUGCUGUGUGCUGGAUGGUAAACUGGUGAUUUGGUUAUUCUGGUCACUGAGCUGUAAGUAUCCUUGUUUAGGAGCUGAACUCUGAACCUGUUAUCCCUGAUGGAUUGCCUGAGUGGAAAGAGACCAUGGAUUCCUGGGGUUCCAAGAUGAUUUCUGCAAUUGAGGUAGAUAUAUGCUUUGCUUAGCAACUUUUCUGAAUAAAUCUAUGUUUUCUGCAUUCUUUGCACACUGUACGGUGCUGCUGUAUCAUACAUCACUUAGUUGUGCCAUAUGGUUUUCAUAGGUUGUUGCUGAGAUGGCUGCAAUUGGAUUUGGCUUGCCAAAGGAUGCAUUUACUUCUUUGAUGAAGGAGGUACUAUUCUACUCUAUUCUCUGCGUUUUUUAGUUCUGUUGUAAUUUUUAAAUCUACUUGAACUGCAUGCUCUUAAAAAAUGCCAGGUCCCUUCGUUGUGUUUACUUAGUAACUUAAAAGUACCCUAGUGGGUUCUAAGGUUUAGUGUCUGCUCCAUAUUCCCCUUAAAAAGAUGUAGUAUGGGAUUCAAGUUCUUUGAUAAUCUGAUUGCUAUUGCUCAAUUAUUCUUGUGGAUACUAGGGACCGCACCUUCUAGCCCCAACUGGAAGUGACCUGCAGCAUCAUGGUUCUGAGGGCACUGUUUUCGCUGGGUUCCAUUAUGAUCUUAAUUUCUUGACUAUACAUGGCCGAAGUAGAUUUCCAGGCCUGAACAUCUGGUUAAGGAACGGUAAAAAGAUGGAGGUGAAAGUCCCUGUUGGCUGCCUCCUCAUUCAAUCGGGGAAACAGGUUAGCUUUUCCACUUUUAAUGAACUUAUCGUCAUGAAUUGUUUGGGGAUCAACCUUUUUCCGUUUGUUGGUAUCAUAUUUGCUUUGUUCUAUCUUAUGAGCACUUGUUUUCAUAGUCCACGAUGUUGUCAUCAUAGAAAUCAGCCCUACUGUUAUAUAUGACUCUUUUUUUUCCUGAAAAAUCAAAUACUUUAUGCUUCCACAAAAGUGGUAAACAAGAGAGAACCGGGGCCUAAUUCUGGAAUCUUAGAUGUGGCUGUGAAAUAAAGAAAAGAAGUACUUUACUACUCUUCCCUGAUUAGAUCUGUUUCAUUCUGCACAGCUGGAAUGGCUUACUGGUGGUGAGUGUUUGGCUGGAAUGCACGAGGUGGUGGUGACAAAGAGAACAUUAGAGGCCAUAGCAUUAGCGAAGGAGCAAAAUAGAAGCUUGUGGCGGGUUUCGUCAACAGUAAGUUCCAUCGACUCCCAUACCGUGUUAGUUUGAUCAAGAACUUCAUGAGAAGUUGUUGGCAGUCAAAUCCUAUGUGCUUGACAUGUCAUUGGCUAACCCGUUGUCUGUUUUUGUAAAACAGUUGUUCGCACACAUUGCUUCAGAUGCAAUUCUAAAGCCACUGGGUCACUUCGCUGAAACACCCAAUGCUGAUUCAUAUCCCCCAAUAUGUGCCGGGGAUUAUGUUGAACAGGAGCUUUCAGUGAUUAACCUGAAAGGAAAGGAUGGAUUGUAGACUAUGCAGUGGAUAAACCUGGAUAUCAUGACUGACAGAUAUCAUAACGCAAAACUAAAUUAUCCAAACUGGCAUUUGUCUUCAUUUCCAAAUGAUUCUAUACUGAGGGUGCUUCUCUUCUUCCAAACACACCCUUUUAUGUCAAUAUAAACUAUGCUUGUUCUUCCCUUUGUUAAGAUGUUGGAUACACUAUUGUGUACCGCACUGAUGUUGUGGAAAUUGAAGGAAAAAAAAAUGCUUAGCUUGCAAAUGAAGUGUGCCUGUGUUAUCUAUCUUGCUGCCCAGGAAUGACCUCCAGAAAACCAAUCCUGAAACUGUUAUUCUCCUCCUAGUGCAGUAUGCCAUUAUCUGUAGUGUCUAAAGUAGUUCUGAAUGAGAAAAGUCUUUCCUUCGAUCAAAAUUACACCUCAAGCAAUAAGUUACACUGCAAGCUGCUCGUUCUCAGCACAAAUGACUCACAGAAGUCUACAUAUGUACAGCGACCAAUUCGGAUACCGUACCCCUUUCAUCAGACCCAGUUGUUGGGCAGCGAGAAAUUAUGGAACCUGAAGGACACGUCUCCGGCGGUGUCCCUCUCGUGCAUGAUCCCGGGGUCCACUUCCGUCUGCACCCGCUGCUCGACGUGCGCAAACGAGUUCUGCCGCGGCAACUCGUCGAACGCCGGGGACGGCAAUGGCAGCGGCAGCGGGCAGGGCUCCCGCCCCGGCCGAGCCUUCGCGUCGGAGUUGCCGUCCCACAUGAACACGUGGAGAAAGAUCGGGCGCAGGGCGUGGCGGUGCAGGGACAGCUUCUGGCUGAGGGAGACGGUGUCGAAGCACCGGAUGGCGCCGGACGUGGACACCAUCCAUGGCAGGACCUUGUGGCCCGACACCCUCGAGAUGAUCAGCAGCUUGGACGCGCGCUUCGCCUCCCGGUAGAGGUCGCGGAGCCCCGACCGCGUCGACGGCAACUGGAGGUCGCCGUCGUCCUCCAUGACGGAUGAGACGUAGAUGAAUCCCUGCUCAGAGUCACAAUCGAUUUGAGAGUUCAGGCACAUAAAAAUACAUGCACUAGGACAGGUUGGGAGAAUGUAUAGCGUGUGUUGCCGCUUCUAAAAAGGAUUGUAUAGCGUGCGAGACGGUUCGCGUGUACCUCUUCGGUACGGCUGAUGGCGAAGCCAAGCCUGGUGUCGCUCUCCUCGAGAGUGAUCUCCACCGGCAUUUCUCCGCCCGCGGCCGUGUACCAGACGCGAACCGCCUUCACGACGCCAAUGUCCACGCCGUGGUAGUCCUCGAAGCCGUAGAGGCUGGCGUUGGCGAGGUUCGGGAGGUCGGCCAGUGAGCCCGAGUUGACCGUCGCGGAGGCUGUCUCGCCGGAGAUCUGCACCAAGAACGUUAGAUCAUGGGAGAAAACGCACACGGAUUGGAACAAACAGCGUUCAUACAGACUUGAUUAUUAGUACCCAUACCUUGGUGAGAAGGGCCUCAGUUUGGACGUUCAAGAACACGAUGGGCACGCCGGCCGCCUGGGACGAGAGCAUCCAGGCGUUGGCGCGGGCAAGGGUGUCCUCGACGGAGUUGUAGCGGGAACCGGCGCGGUCGAGCGCCGUGGGCAGGAUGAGCAAGGAGAGGAAGCUGCUGGAGUUGGGGAUCGGUAGCACCUCCCGCAUCUUCUUCUCCCACGGGUAGGACACGUAGCCGUCCUGCAGCUGCGCCUUGCUCAGCGCGCACACCACCCUCGAGCUCCUCGACCCUGAAGAAAUGCAGAAGAGUUACAGUACUCAAAUCAGUGAUUUUCCAGGAUCUCUGAAAUUAUGCAUGUCUUUUUUCUUUGUUUCUGACUUAGUAGAAUAAAACUGAACGAUCAGACCGAUAAAAGUCAACCGGGGAAUCUCCUAAUAAUUGCGUUAAUAAUUCGAGACAGGUUCUUUAAGUCAGAUGAAUAUUCAGCAAUCAGCAAGUGGUUCGCGGUGCAGAAUAAUGAAUCUGGCUAAAUGCUGAUUCCGUUGAACGUGCAUCACCGUGUCUGUUGCCUGGAAGUAUGCAUCUUGAGCUAGACUAAGCAAUUGGAUACUCUUAUUUUUUUACUGACAGGAUCUAAAACAUUGCAUGCGGACCUCCCAGGUUUCAUCGUACUUACCCACCAUAUCUUACGAGGGGCCAUGUUUGAAUUGUUAUUCUAACAUCAAUUUUACAUAAUUUUUAAUAUCAUAUAAUUUCUACACCAGACCAGACUACUAAAUUUUAUGCUAAAACGUAUUUACGGUGGUUCCUCAAAUUUGAUUCAAAAACAUAAAUGCGGUACUAUUUUAAGUAUAGUAGAUUUUCUUUUCAUUAUUAUUUUAAAAUAAUAUUUUUGUGCAGGCGCGCAUGGCGUGCCAAUCUGACUAGUUACUACUAUGACUUACAGUAACCUAAUAUCCGGGUUAGAAUUCUACCAUAGUCUGCAUCGUAUUUUCAGCAAGCUUGCAAAUGCGAGAAGUAACAAGACCUAGUGCUUUUGUAUUGUUCCCAAGAAUAUGCUCGACUACAUAGCAUUGCUUGUAUGCAUCAUCUGGAUCAUAGACUACCUUUAUAAUUUUUCAGGCGAAGCUACUCCAAAAACUUCCCAACAAAUUAACCAGCAGUCUGAACAGUCAACAAAACAAGAGCAGCAAUGAUAUAAGCACCCUCUACAAUCCUAUCCCAUCAGAUCCUGGAUAUUCUGAGCAUAUUCACAGAUAGGACGAAUAUCGGAUCAUGUUUGUACUCCUCGAAGUGAUCAUUUUUGACUGUCGUAGUCUGUGCCGAUCCAAGCAUAUGCCUACCUACCAGCCUAUGCACACUACCAAGCAACCAAAAUCACUAUCCUGAACACGCCCAAAUGUUAGGAAACGAUAAAGCGCCUGUCACCUAUCAAAGCCAGCCUACUUGCUCAACUUUCUGUGCACCAAAGUCCGCAUGCAGAGGGCACAAGCACGCACCUAUCCUUUUUCCCAAGUCCAACCCGGCAUGCAACGAAAACUACGUCGCGGACUUUUACUUUCCACAAACUAAAUCAAAUUGAUGUACGGUCUAAGGGUGGAUCAAAAAAUGAUGCAAAAAUAUCUAAAAUUCAAUCUGCACGGAGAAGAGGAUAAGCAUAUGCUUGGUAGUGGUUGUGAUGCUACCUCUGAUGGCGAUGCACUCGCUCUCCAUGCUGUCGACGAGGCCGACGGCGUAGUUGGGGUCGCGGAUGGAGCGGAGCACGUACUGGCGGCUGCGCCCGAUCAUCCCCCCGCCGCCGCCGCCGCCGCCGCCGCCAACGGACUCCUGCGGCACGAUGCAGGCCUGCAUCCUGGCGGCGGUGGCGGCCGCGCCCGGCGCCGCCAGCUCCCCGCUGUCAUCCCCGCCGGCGGCGACGAGCCGCUGCUGCUGCCCGCCCUGCGCGUGGCGGCGCACGCGCACCUCGACGGAGGUGUCCCCGCGCUUGAAGGCCGCGUGGAGCAGCUUCUGCAGCGCGGCGCGGCCGCCCUUGAAGGGCGCGGCGUGCGCGGCGGGUCCGCCCCGGCCGCCGACCCCGAUGAGGAGCUCCUCCACGACGUCCCCCGUCUGCACCGUCUCGCUGCUCCCGGGCCCCCACUCCUCCGCCCGCGACCCGCCCGCCACGCACUCGAUCGCCACCACCACCCCCUGCCUCCUCCCGCUCUCCAUGGGCAUGCCCCCCCUCCUCUCUCUGUGUGUCUCCUCCUCGCGAGCGUGGGCGUGGCCUAUCUAUCGAGGGGGAGGAGGAUCUAGCAGGGCAGCUCGAGCGACGCGGACCCGGGAGGAAGAGCAGAGCAGCUCGGCUCCCUCGCGCAGAUUCCUCGGCCUCUUCCGAGCCGGCGGCGGCCGGUAGAAAUAGGAGACGCUUUCCAGGAGGGUGCGGAUGGAAUGGAAGCGACCGAGCGCGUGAUGGUCACUGGGACGAUGCCACGACGGCCACGCGUCGAACCGGACGGAAAAGAACCCCCCGGCCCGGUAGGUGAAUCCGCGCCCUCCGUUGUCAGACAAGUUGUUAGCAGAGUGGAUGUCGUGGGGAGGAAGAGCCGGGCCCGGAAUUUUCGUUGAGUGCUCGACCCUCGGCCGGCGCGAGUGCCUCUCAAGUCUGAUCGGCAGAUCCCAGGUGUGCGAUUCCGGCGGCCUCGCCGGAUCGGAAUUCAGAACAACGGCACACGCACUGGCACUGCAGCUUCGAUGGGCUCGUGUCACGUCAGGACACCCCUCGGGCUUUAUUCUCCGGACAUCAAACGAAAUCACAGUGUUACAUUGACUGUGAACCAACAUGUUGAACACAGCUCUUAACACGAUCUGUCCUGUUAAGAAGACUCGAACCCGAUUUUCCAACGCCACCUCAACUGUACCCAUUGGUCAAGGCUUGUCUGUUACGGCUCACGCCUUCUCAUUGGAGGACCUGGGGGGAGUACGACCGCGCGAGUAUCAUAAUACCGCCACCGCCGAAUCCAAAAUUUUCCGAACACCGCCGAUGAAUCUAAAUACCAUUUUCUAGGUCGUCGUCGGAUAUCCAUGACAUCAUCCCGGAAGAGAAAUUCAAACGGAUGGCCCGUACAUGAUACGGUACGCCAAUCGAUCCUUGUCCAGUGAAAUUUAAAAAUCAUCAAACCAAGUGGAUCUAGCUUGCGCGGCCACUCAAUCAAGUGGCAUUUCUAUAUUACAUGGAUCCACCAAUCAAAGGCCGCCGUCUGACAAAAAAAAGUGUAUAAUAAUAUAGAUUCAGUAUACGGAUUGUAGAAGUCCGGUGUCAUGAAAAGGAAAGAAAUGAACAGUUGCCUACUGCUCUCGGUGACCAUUUGUCCAUUUCAUACAGGGAAAUACCAAGAAAUAUACGUCUCGGCUUCCACGCGUAAUUGCUAGUCAAGUUUCGCGUUCAUGCGCCGGUGCCCAAUAAUGGCGGUGUACUAGAGGACGUGAAAAUUCCAUUUCUACGGGAUGAGCGCUGGGAAGAAAUAACAUCGUAGGAAUGGAUUACGGAGAAGCAGAUAAAUUAGCCAUCUUCGUUGACGUCAGAGCAAGUUGCGAUGUUGACAUAUCCACUUCAUCGCAGCAUUAAAAGUGCUUUUGAAUUUCUAUAAGCUUGCAAAGUAUGGUUGAAAAUGAGAGCAAACAUCACAAUUCGAGCAAGUUCUGCUUAUGCUGAAAUCAUUACUUUGGAAUUUGGAUUGACCUUUUAAACUGUUCGGAAUACGGUCCCUGCAAUCUCUUGCCCCGAAAACAAGUAAUCGAAUCGAUACAUGAAAAUUUGACGUGAAUUUCAUGUGUCCUGAUAUGCAACUCCGAGAUUAAAUUUGCCCUUUACGGCUUUAACCAUUAAAGAGCCUGCAAACCUGUUUUUCACCAUGGUCAAAACACCAUUUGACUUGCAUAAACCUACCCAUACCCUGCUUUCUUCAAUGGUCAAUCCAGAACGUUGAUACGGCAUCCAACGGCAUCUGCGAUGCGUAGCACAGAAAAGAAGAUCUCCGAAGCCGAAGGGAAACUCUGUCCCCACCCAAGCUAGCAGACCGAAAUGGCAUCCACCUCACCGGAAUCCGCCGUCGCCGCCGCCGGGGAUGCCAACGAUCCCAUCCAAAUCCGUCGCCUAGAGCUGUCCGACCAAGAGAGGGGCUUCGUGGAUCUCCUUUCCCAGCUCUCCACCUGCCCGGACCUCACUCCGGCCGAGUUCGCCACGCGCUUCGCCGAGCUCGCGGCUCAAGGCGACGACCACGUCAUCCUGGUGGCCGAGGACCCCUCCGCCCCGGAGCGGAGGAUUCUCGCCACGGGGUGCCUCUUCGUGGAGCGCAAGUUCCUGCGAGGCGGCGGCAAGGUCGGGCACGUCGAGGACGUGGUGGUCGAUGCCGCCGCGCGCGGCAGGGGGCUCGGGCUCCGCAUCGUGCGCCGCCUUGUGGGGAUCGCCAGGGACGCCGGCUGCUACAAGGUCAUCCUCGACUGCACACCCGAGCUGCGCGCCUACUACGCCAAGUGCGGAUUUGUGGAGAAGGGGGUUCAGAUGGCUGUCUACUUCUGAACCAGACUUCAGAGGUAUGGCUCCUCUGGAAGUGCUGAAAGAAAUGCUGUAGUUGAUCGUUGGCAAAAUACACUAGCAUUUGGUUGUAGUAGAGCAGCAUAGGUGUAACAAGAUUCAAAUGCAUUUGAACCAAUUGCGCAAACACUCCAAACAGUGAUGUGCGUACCAUUCUGUAUCUGGAGUUAAUUUGGCUUGCUCAAGUUGGUGAUGGAAGAUGAGCUCUAGAACUAAGGAUAAACUUGAGUUUUGAGUUCAAAACUGAACCAGUUGAGGAUGUUUGGUGCAGUGCAGUCAUUUGUACACCUCAUUUCUUAUAUAUGCUCUCAACCGUCAAUCUGUUUUGCAGCUUAAGCUUGUUACAUUUUACCAUUCCAUUAUAAUUCAUAUACCACUGAACAGACAUAUGAAAAUCCUAUCAUGCAUGCUGACUAAUGUUUUGCUACAUAUACAAAAUGUUAUUUCAAGCUACGAGGUCGCCAAUUAAGGUUUUCUCAUCCUUUGCCUAACUCAUAUAGAUUGAUAUUUAUCCUAGCGUUACAACGUGUUACAUUUGUCUUUCUGCCAUCUUACCAACUCAGAUCACUUAUUUUCUUCUUACUAGAGCUACGGCUAGGUUCAGAUGCAGCAUUGUUUUGUGCUAAUAGGAAUUGACAACAUUUCCUUUAUGUGUCAUUAUUCAAAAAUCAAUGUCGAAUUUUUGAAACUUCUGCUCUAUGCUGCUACAAUUCCUUUUUUGCCUCAUUGAUUUUAAGAUCUUACAGUCCAUCCCAUUUUCUGUUGCAGAGUCAUUGCUGAAGAUUGAUGGGCUUAUCCGCUUAUGCGCUUGUUCUGCUCUGGGGACCCAUCCAGAAAUUUCUGAUUUCAGCAUGGCAGCAUUUGUAUGAACCAUAUGCUGUGCUUUUUUUUUACUGAUGUUUUUGACGUUGAGAAAUUUCCUUGGAGCUAUUAAUUCUUUACAAGGACGAUAAAUUUCCAACAGUUAUCAGGCCUGCUAGCUUUCCUGCUUUGUUAUUAUGAGGUCACCACGAAAUGCUUCCCCUUUCUAUCCAGAUGUUUGCACCAGAUGUUAAGAUCACUAAUUCUUUAUAAGGACGAUAAAUUUCCAACAGUUAUCAGGCCUGCUAGCUUUCCUGCUAUGUUAUGGUGAGUUCACAAAGAAAUGCUUCCCUCUAUCCAGAUGUUUGCAUCAGAUGUUAAGAUGACACGCCUUGGGUCUGGAAAGACCCAUAAUGCUUGCCGUGUGCCACCAAAAGGUCCUAGGUGCUUAUGCCUGCAAUUUGCUGAGGCUGUAGGAUGAAGCGUGCAACAAACUGAAAGAGCACUCAAACAGAAACCCAAGCUGGACAUCAUUAAACUGAAGAGAAUGAUACGAUUCCCACCUAGGCUAUAUAAGCCUAAAACACACCACAACAUGCAGCUUAAACACAACUGGUACUAUCUGACAUUUGAUACCCACAACACGUUGUGAAGAGAGCGAGCAUUCACUGAUGCAAGAAAACAUAUGCUGAUGGUUCAUCACACGCUUGUAGGUAGGUUCACAGCACACUAUAAGGUUUCCACUAACUUGGCAAAGUAGUCAAAAUUUCAAGCACUUGAAAGAAAUGAGCGAAGUCUCCAAUCUUCUAUUACAUAAGUCAUCAACAGUAGAUAACAAUAAGCUAAAGCAACAUUAUCAAAUUUGCUCUCAUGAUACGCACUAAGUGCUAGCUGAUUGAAUCCACGGUGGGACUUAAUCCUCAUCCUCAACAACCUUAGUACCCAAGCCUUUGAGACCCUCGGCAGGGAUCUCAGCAACUGUGACCAGAGAGUAGAGUUCCUCCUUGGCAUCUUCCUCAUCGUUCCUCUUACGGGCAAUUCUGACACGGACUCUCCUUGGCACACUCCGGAUACCACUGCUCCAGAUGUGCUUGUUGAGCUUCACAUCGAUCCGAACAUCAGUAGUACCCAUGGCCUUCUGUGCAAACUUCCUAAUCUCCUUGAUGGCAUUUGGUGCCUUCUUCUUGAAGGUGCUGUAUACAAUCAACGGCAGAUUAGAUAUCACUACAAUGACUGAUCACUAUAUAUCAAUUUGCUAUACAUGACUUCUCAAACUUGAGAGUUAAAAGAGAUUCAACUACAGGAAUUAAUAGACAGCAAAAUAUUGGAUUUCUGUGUGAUUGUUGCACCCAAAUGGAACACAUGACAGCAUGUCAAGGCAACAUGUGUAACGAUGAAUGGCAUCUUUCUACCAGGCAUGUAACUGUAUCAACCACUACAUUGUAUAAGACAGAUACCUGACUAUGUCCGGACAAACAAAAAAUGAUUAUGGAUCAGAUAUGCAACUCCCAACAUAUGAUGGCAACAUAUUCAUAAAACAGCAAAACAUAGAACUUCUAUAUAGAUGUAGCACCCAAAUGGAACACAUGACAGCAUGUUAGGGCAACAUGAGUAACGAUGAGUGACAUCUUUGUACCGGGCAUGUAACUGUAUCAACCACAAUUGUAUAAGACAGAUACCUGACUAUGUCCGGAAAUCGCAAACAAUAUUAUGUAGAUGAUACAGUAACUACCAAUCAAAUUACACAUGGAAGCUAGAAUGGGUGAAAAAUGUACUGCCCAAAUGGAACACAUAGUAGCACGAUGAGAAGCAAAACGUGUAACGAUGAGCAGGUUACAUAUCCCGGGCAUGUAACUGUGUGCAGCCACAGAAUGAUAAGGCAGACACCUGACUAUACCCGAUAAGCACCUAAUAGAACGGGACUAACGAAAACAAAUAGCUAUUUCAUACCACUACUCAUCAAUUAAAACAAGACAAACUCGAGAUAAAAUGUGGGAUCAAAUACAAGAGCAGGAUCCAAAAAAAUCUAAUCCCGCUCGGUCAGAUGAUUCCGACUGUACUAUAGCUGGUAAAGGAUACUGAUCCAAACAGGUGUACCAACCAAUUGCGAGCCCACAGAGUGCUCGCAGGCCGUAACCCUCCGCACCAGCAUCUCACAGAACAGGUCGUCGAAGAGCGAUACUACUCUCCAACACACAGAUCUACUCAGCUGCUACCGCAAAGUUUGGGAAUGGUACAGAAGGGCAGGGGAAGGAAGGGGACGAUACCAUCCGUGGAGGCGCUUGUGGAGGUUGAUGGUGUACUCGCGAGUCACCACCUCGUCCUUGCGUGUGCCGGGGCCGCGCUUCUUCUCCGACAUCUCCGCUCCGCCGCCGCGUCCGCCUUUCUCCUUUGCUCGAGCUCGAGGGAGGUUGCGGCGUGAGGAGAUAAACCCUAACCGCGCCCGCCAGGGUCGCCUUUUUAUAGCGGCGCGAGUUAGGGCUCCCUACCCUUUUGGGCCUCUCCUCCCGAAUACGAGACCAGCCCAUGUGUACAGAAUUAGGCCCAUUUAAGUAGACCGUCUCAUUUUCCUCCUCCUCUUCUUCAUCUUUUUUUUAAUGCUUGCAGAUACCUUGUUCAUCCCGCCCGUGAGAAGCUUGAGAGCUGUGAAUUGUGAUCACGUAGCAGUGGAGGUUGCGGGAGUUAGAUGUCCGCUUUUUUUUUCUUUUGGAAACGUUCGCUUUCGAGGCUAGCUGAUUGAGAUCUUAUUUUGGCUUUGAUGAUACACUUCCUUCACAGUAUCACCCUUAGCUGAGCAAUUCAAUAUCUCCAACGCGAACAUGACCAGAUUUUUGUAUAUCUUCUGAAAACGGAAGCUACGAAAAACGACCAACUCCACGACCCUCGCAGUGUGCCCCGUCAUUUGACAAGUAACAGCUACCGAUAAACCAGUCAGUUCGACCAACUACUGAAAAAUAUCGGUCAGUCUCUGUCGGUCUUCUGAGAAGACUGAAACAUUAAGCUUAUCGAUUACAUCAUGGUCACGACUCACUACCGGCGGCUUAAUAAUUGCCUAAUCACAAUAGACAUCAGCAUAGGCCAGAGAACGCUUGCCAUUGCAAUACUCCAUACAUGCAAACAAGCCAAAGGUAGCAUUGAAGCAUGAUACAUUACUUUAUUUGGGUUUCAGCAAAUGUUUGUUGCACGCCACAAAACCAGUACAGAAAUGUGAUCACAGUGACCAAUCAUGUAAACAUGUACUAGCUGAUAAAUAUCAGUGAGAUAAAAGAAGUAGUAGCCUAUGGGUUGACAAAGGAGCAGUGAAAAAAAUGUAAUCAGCAUCAAAUAUGCUAGGCAAGAAAUAAUAAACAAGCAAAGAGGACAGAUUUGGUACGGGAAAGAUAUUCUUGCAACCAUUUCAUAGCCAGGGAACAAACUAUAGUUCCCAAUUUGGGAGUGGCAAAAUUGGCAUUUUGCCAUAAAUGCGCAACUGUAGCAUUUCGUUUGUAUUUAUGAAUUAUUGUCCAAACAUUGACUUUGUAUUUAUGAAUUAUUGUCCAAACAUUGACUAAUUAGGGUCAAAAGAUUCGUCUCGUAAAAUACAACAAAACUGUGCAAUUAGUUUUUGAUUCAUCUACAUUUAGUACUCCAUACAUGUACCGCAAGUUUGAUGUGAUGGGGAAUCUUCUUUUUGCAUAGUGUCAAAGUUGGAAUUUUGGAGGGAAGUAAACAAGGGCCUAGUGAAAGCAGGUUGCCUCCAGCAGCAGGAAGAGGAAAUUAGCAGGACUUAGUUACAAUUUCCUGCCAAAAGAAUAAGGACAACAUAGACCGAACUGUGGCAGAUUUCUGAAAAUAGCAGUUGCCCACAACCACAUUGUUAGUUUACAGUAGAGAAUUAGCUAGGAUACUAGAUCUGCUCUGAAAGAUGGCGAAUCUAAUCAUCUCAAGUAUCUUCACAAUCCAUGGAGUGAAAUAAACGGUCAGAAGAAAGUUGGAGCUUUAGGGAAAGAUGUUGACAUGUAAGGGAUGCAGUGGCUUGGUGAAGUAAAAAUGUGAUUGCAAGACAACAACAAUGUAGUUCCUGAUGUGCGAAAACACAGACAGAAUUCAAUAUUUGUUUUAAUAUUAACAAACACUGCAUAAUGGAACGGUUGGAAAAGGUAUUCUAGUUACUUAAGCUAUGACUGGCUUAGUGGCUUACCUCAACUUUUAAUUUAUGCUAAUUGAGUAUAUAAACUAAUGUAACUACUAACUACUUAGCCACACCUGAACAAGCACAAGCAGACUAAUAACAUAACCUCAUACCCACAGACCAUGAAGGAACAGAAGAGUGUAUACAAAGUGCCAAACUACAUGCAGAAUAUUAGUUAAUAGAUUCAGGAUUUAAAAGACCAUGAAGAAACUCAUGAUCCAGUUUGACUAUAGUCUCUAGAUUUGUAAUAGAAGAAUGCAACGCAAUCACAACAUAUGCCAUGCCACUCUUAUCAAUAAACCAAAUGGACAAUCUGUGCAAAAAAUGACAGAACUACAAGCUUCAAGAAUGACACAUUUAUGACUUUUGCCUGUCAUCUACAAAGCACAGACAUCAAUAGAUCAAAGCAACGCUAUUGUCCAAUAGCUCAAAUUCACAAAGACAAGCGCAAUAGAGGCUCAAAUGGUUCCACAGACAACAGAAAAAGUCUACAGUACCUACUAGGCACAGUAUCUAUUAUUUAAUAGAUACAAGAUUUAGAAGAACCAUGAAAAAUCUCAAGAUACAAUUCAACUGUUAGAAAAACAUUGUACUUCACAAUGCAAUACUGAUCUUACCAAUCAAUAAAGUGGAACGAUAUACUAUUAUUACCAAUCAAUCAAGUGGACAGCCUGAGCUAGAACAACAGAACUAUGUGACCAAUUUCAUUAAUUGUUCAUCGAUAGCCUUCACCAUUCGCUCUUUCCCAAGAAUCAGGACGCCCACUAGAUAAAUCUAAUCGAUCAAAGCAUGAGCACUACCCAAUCUGUCAAAUUAGCACAAUACGCACCAGAGAUUUCAUAACAAGAGUAGAAUUGGCAAAGCAUAUUACAAAAAUCAGGGGGUUAAAAUGGAUUUCACAGCUAACAGAAGAAUUAAGUCCUCAAGCUUUAUUCCAUUCCGGAUUCAGCUCAUCAUAUCAUACAGAAGAAGAAAAGAAAAACAAGCGCCUAGUAGGCGAGGUUCGAUUUGUCCGCGCGCACGCAGUACAGAUCGAGCGAACCCUUCGAUCCGAUGAGAUCAAGCAAAGAGGCAAACCAGAGGUCAGAUCAGACGGCGGAGGGCGCGGCGCCCGCGGACUCGGCCUCGAGAUACCGGCAGAUCCGCUCGACGACCUCCCUCCCCUUGGCGCUGUUCUGCAGGAACCUCUCGGCGCACCGGGUCUCGACCUUCUCGGCGACGGCGGCGAGGGCCGCGAGCGGGCGGCACCGGAUCGUGGUCUCCUGCCUGAACUGCGUCCACUCGUCGGGGCGGUCCGGGUGGGGCCUGUAUGAGGCCCUCUCCUCGACCUCGAUGAGGCCCCGGAGGCUGACGUUGCGCACGACAACGUCCAUGGCGCGGCGUUGUGCGUCGACAAGCGAGGUCUCGACGCAGUGGCAAAGCGCGGCGCCGUUGGGGGACGCCGCGGCGGACGGGAGGAGGCGGCGGAGGAUGAAGGGGAGCGGCGGGGACCGCACCGUGAUGGAGCGCGCGGCGUGGAGGCGGCCCGUGUCCGAGUCGAGGCGGCGGUGGAGGGUGUGGACGUCGGCGACGUGGGAGAGCGCCGUGCGGGAGGCCGGGUCCGUGAACUUGCGCCACACCGCCGCCGUCACGCGGUCCCACGGGUGCCGGUAGACGUGCUCCUGCGCGUACACCACCAUGGCGCCGGCCGCCGGUCUUGGCCUCGUGGGGCUGCGGGGGUUUUGGCUGGAUUUGAUUGAUUUCCUCUUUCUUGCGGCGAGGGUUUGGGCCUCCAGGGGGUGGCUGGCGACUUGGCGAGGACGGACGAGGAGGGGAAGAAGAGGCAGGAAAGGAGGAAUGGAGGAGGAGAGGUGGUUUUUGUAGGGCCCGAGCCCGAUCGAGCCGUGCGGCCGCCGCUGGAUUUUUGGGUCGUGGGGAGGAAGGCAGCCCGAACCUGCCGGCGAGGCCGAGUGGUGCGGUCGGCACGUGACCCCGAGUCCCCGACUCUGACCUCCUCCCGCCCGCGUGUCCCGAGCGGUUUCCUUGUGCUGCCGCGUGUGCUGGCAAAGCGUACCCCAGAGCUCAGUGCAUCCGUGAGGAGAAAACGUAUUCUAUGUUUACGCCUUCCGCUUGACUUGGGAAACAGGAGAAAGACUACUCCGAACCAGGCGAGCAGCCGCCACCGUGACCCGCGACCUUUCCUUGUCAGGCUCAGAUGGCGCUCUCGCACCUCUCCCGCCGCCUCCUGAGCCCGACGGCCGCCGCGGCGGCGCGCCUCCCCAAGACAUUCUCCCAUGGGCGCGAUCCAUUCAUGAUCAUCCACCCGGGCCGCCGCUUCUUCUCGGCGUCCGCAUACCCCAGCUCCUCCUCCACGCCGUCAGAGCCCGAGCCCGGCCCCGGCACCCCCGGCUCCGCGCCCGCGUCGCCUGACGAGAUGCGGCACCAGGAGAUCGAGGGCCCCACGGUGGAGCGCGACACGUCGCCCCUGGCCGACGAGACGCGGCGGGAGAUCGACGCGCUCCGCCGCACCGUGCAGCGCCUCAGCGGCUCGCUCGCGCUCCUCGGUGGGGCGCACCUCGCCGCCGGCUCGUGGAUCGCCUACGGUGCCCCGCCCCUCGGCGUCGAGACCGCAGCCGCGGUGCAGGGCGUGGCGGCGUUCGCGUUCCCCUUCGCGGUCGCCCUGGUGCUGCGCCGCGCCAUCAAGCCCAUCGCCUUCUUCCAGAAGAUGGAGGCCAACGCGAGGCUGCAGGUGCUCACUCUGUGCCUCCAGGCUACGAAGAACGUUAACCUCAUGCUGCUCCGGACGCGGGUGAUGACCAUCUCUUGUGCUCUCGGGGUGUCUGUCGCGUCAGUUGCUGCGAUAUUGAUGCGGUGAGUUUAAAGCUCAGAUCUCGUCGAGAAGGAUGGUUAGUAUCAGUAACUGAGGAAUAAUAAUGAACUGUUAAUAGGCAAAUAGACUUCGAAGUUGGAAAAUUUGGUGCUUUUGGAUGUUGGACUGUGCUUAGUUUUGGUCAUUGUACACGAAACAAAGGAGAUUAUAAUGUGAUUGUCAUUGUUUGAGAUAUUUCUAGUACAGUGAGUGAUAUUCCUCUUCAAUUGGAUCGAACCAGUUGGGCGAAAUUCAGCAUUUUCCUUAGAUUUUAGAUGAACCAGCUCCAUGUUGAUAUCCUGUUUGUUAAUAACAUGGUUAUAAUUAGGGGAAAGCUAUACUGUGCUCGCGCAUUUCUUUGGCUUCCCACACUUGAAUUUUCUCCUCAUCCCAUCUUCUGCGUCUUCACCGAGAUUUGAUCCGUCUUCUUCAUCUCCGGUAAGACCCAGCUCCAUCUGAUCCAUCUCCGGCGAGCUCCGAUGAAGGCAAGAGGUUAGGGCCUUAGGGGAUUUGGGUUUGGGGAUGGGGGAUUCAGGCCCUGGGGUUCCUGGUGUUGCAGGGCAUAGAGGGGGGUCUGGAGGUGGCAGGCCGGACAGGCGGUGAUGGUGGCCGCGGGGACGGCGAGGCACGGUGGCGGUGGCGCCGCUGGCCGGGCAGUGGAGGAUGGCGGUUGGGCCAGGUGGGGGCGGGGGCACCAAAUCUGGAGUGGUUAGCGUGCGGGUGGGGAGCGGCAGCGAGAGCCGCCGGAGACGGGGUGGAGGAGGGUGGGGUGGGGGCACCGGCAUUGACUCGUUGAGGAGGAAGCUUGCGCUGUUUUGUUUCGGAGGAGAAAGAAGGACCGAGGAAGAAGAAGGGAGGAAGAAGAAACAACAGCAGACGUCAGAUGCAGAUCCAACGGUUGGUCGGGUGUGAGGGGAAGUUGAAACACUCGAGCGCAAGCUAGGUAGCCCCAAUAAUUACAUCUUAGAGCGGAGCGUCUUCUAACCCUCUUACAGCCGAACUAUAUUUUGGAACUCUGUGUUUUGGCAAGGUUAUAUGAUCUUACGCUAGAGUACUACAAUUCCUGGUUCAAUCAGUACUGAGAGGUGAGAGCAGAUGGACCUUUGUGAUUUGGCAAGGUUUUAUGAUCACCUUUUGCUUGAAGACUACUAUUCCUGAUUCAGUUGAUACUGAGAUCAGAGCAAACUGGUUGUGGCAUGUGCUUAGUUCAGAAGUCAGAUUUGGUCUCUUAGAUGUUUCUCCAAGAUUACCUUAUGUAGAUAUGUGAUGUCAAGGAGUAAGUAGGAGGUAAAUGGAAAUAGCAUUGUAUUAAAUACAGUAUUGGGAGUCGACUAGAGUGGUGUUUUAUUGCGAAGAUUACCUUCAUUGUUAAUGGUUGAGAAAAUGGAUUUAUCAUAAUCUUUCAAUAGUUUCGCUAAAUCUAGUUCCAGAUUUUUCUUUUGUUUUCUGAUUGUGUUUGUUCAUUUCUUUCUCUUUCCUUUUUUUCUUCUUUCUUUUGUUUUUGGGCCCUUGGCCUUCGGACCUUGUUUUUGGUUCUUUUAUCCCUUCUUAAUUUAAUGGUGUCAGUCCUCCUGUCAGUUCAAGAAGAAAAAAUAGUUUAAACAAACAGGACUCAAUAUUUUUGCUGCUUGUUAACGUCGGUUAUCUUGUUGGUGAUUCACUGGUGACUGUCUAGUUAGGCAUCAAAAUAUAUUAUCUAUAUUUUUACCAAAAAAAGAACUGGAUGGAAGGUAAGCACCCUUGCAUUACUGCAUAUUAUCCACAUCCUUGCAUUAGUGUACCCACUUUUAAUCCUGACUUGCUUCUGUAAUGUUGUAGUUGGAUCAAGAUUUUGAAAGGAGGGACAUUUGAUAUCACAAAGUUUCUUUUUUAAUCAGCUUUAGUAGCAGUUAUUUGAGUUUCAUUUUGGUACUUAAAGACCCAUAUCUCUAUUAAAUGCUGGAUCUUUGUUUUGGUAAUACAGUGUUUCUCCACUUGCUGUACCCUUUGUUAUAAGCAUUACAGCACCAUUGUCUGCAUCUAUGCUCCAAACCAUUUUUCUCUAGUUUGUUGUCUCUAAUGUGCAUUGGCAAUUUUAUGCCCAAGUAUGGUAGAAAAGAUUUGUUUGUCUUUUUUUGAACCAGUAAAUUUGUUUAAUCUUCUUUUUGAAUAGGUGAAUUCUCAUGAAAUUUGGACAAGCCAACUUCAGUUUAAUAUCUUUUAGGUCAGAUAACUUUUUCUAUAGGUCUAUCUUUCCUGCUGCAUAUGUGUCUCUUGUAGCCAAUCAGCCAUUGGGAAUCAUUUGAUGAAUCUAACCAAAUAAUCACCUGGUGUUAUUGAUUGCUAUGAAGCAAUCAGAGUCUAGAGAUGAAGUGUAAUGUUCUUUUCAAAUUACAACUCAGGUUCACAGAUCAAUUGGUUCCUCUACAAACAUGCUAAAGACAUCGAGAUACUUCUUGGGUUUGUUUACCGAAGUUUCUUUUUCACGCUGUUGUAGCCUUGUAGGGAUGACAGCUUGAAUUGAUUGAUAAGCUGAAUAUUACUGGUCUUUAGCGAUCCUGAUGUGAGCUAAGCUUCUUUUUUUUUUCUGCUAAAUGUUUUUGAAAUCGCUGAGCUGUAUAAUUUGGAUUUAACUUGAUGUCCAUUGUUUCGUGAUGGAUACAUCGUGGUCUAGCUAAGUAUGUAGUUUAAGACAAUAAGCAAUUUGUAAUCAUUUGACAAAUCUAACCAAAUAACCACCCAAUCUUAUUGAUUGCUAUGAAGUGAUUAGAGUCUAGAGAUGAGUGUAAUGUUCUUGUCAAAUUACAACCCCAGUUCACAGAUCAAUUGGGUCCUAUACGAACGCGCUAAAGAAAUCGAGAUACUUCUUGGGUUUGUUUACCUAAGUUUCUUUUUCACACUGUUGUAGGGAUAACAACUUGGAUUGAUUGCUUAGUUGAAUAUUACCGGUCUUUAGCAAUAUUGACAUGAGCUAAGCGAUUGGAUUUUUUUUUUGGCUAAAUGCUUUUGAAAUCGCUGAGCUGUAUAAUUUGGAUUUAACUUGAUGUCCAUUGUUUCAUGAUGGAUACAUCAUGGUCUAGCUAAGUAUGUAGUUUAAGACAUGACAGUAUACAACUCUUACCAGAUGGUUCUUAAAAAGCCAUGGAUUUCUAAUUCAUUAAUAAAGGGAUUUGUCUUCUCCUGUUGAAGAGAGUGAUGUUUCAUUUGAAGAGCCCCAUUUCUCACACACUCUUUUACUGGCCUCAAGUCACCUGACAAGGAUAAGAAAUAGAAGAAAAAACAGAGAAUACUGCACUGUGUUUACCUUGUUGUUUAGACUAGGUCAAGCAGAGCUUUUUGUAGAGGAUGUGCACCAGGCAUUCUCUACUGUGUAGGUUUCGUUGCCUUUUAUGCUUCUUUUAGACAACACUGUGAAAUAGCUUGUCACCAUGCUUUUGGAUAGUACAGAUUCACCGGCAGCAUUGUCCACCACCAAUAGGCCUUGUCUUAGCUGCUGGAUAAACGUAGCGCUUGUGUCAACAACUGGAUAAGAAUUGGCAAUUAUUGGUGCUCUUUCUUGCCAUUAUAAAUAGGCACCUGUAAUGCAAGGAGUAUGCACACCUAUCUCACUCAACUUCAGAGUCCAUUGAGUUUCAGGUCUCUUUUCACUCAAGGAAACAUGCAUUCUUGGGCAUCAGUGGUUCAGCGCUGCAUGUAGUUCUUCAACUCUUUGAUUUGUGCUAACCUCCUUGAGCAUAGGAUCAAGCCUAUGCAAACAUUGCUACGUUCUUCUUCCUGCACCAGGAUGGGGAAAUCCUUAUGUUAUGCCCAUAACAUUCUUGACCUUGCAAGGCCAAGGCACAGUGGCUGGCUGGCUGCAAGCUGGGGAAGUUUGUUGGCUGGUCCGUGAAAGUGAGACUCAUCUUUGUUGAGUGUCUGUCCUUCUCAGCUUAAUCUCUGUUCAACAUGCAGACCAGUAGACUAUCUUCUGCAUCUAUGUAUUGAUCUUUUCUAAUGUCUGUUCAACAUGCAGACCAGUAUAUUAUAUCUUCUGCAUCUAUGGAUUGAUCUUUUCCUUUGUGUGCUGGGAAAAUGCGUUUUGUUUCUUUCCAGCUGGUAAAUCCGGCAUGGGUGCCUGAAAUAACAUGUAUUUGCAUCUGAAUCUGGUUGGUGUCAUGCUGCAUUGUUGCUGCAAUGCUGUGUCUAAUUUUCUCUGAAAUGAAUGCUUACAAAUCACUUGCGGCCAUGCUCGAUCACAUGCUGCUUACACCAACAUUCAGAAACAUCGCACAAAGUUGGGUGUUGCUGGCCACUUGGGGAUGCGGGUUUGCAGCCUUUCUGGAGUUUUUUGUGAGCUUGAGCUUGAACCUUUCCGGUGCGUGCAAGUGCAAGUUGCAAAGUAAGAUACGGCCUGGAAUGUCGAUGUAGUGAGAUAUUUCUACUUGUCUUUGGCGACAGAGUAUCUCGUCUUUACCUUGCCAUUCUUUUUGCAGUUGUUGGAUCUGAGUUGCUUUGCACGUCGCCUCUCCAUUUUUCUUCUCUCGUUUCUGCAAAAUCCUGUGCUGCUUUUUUACAGCGUUUUGUGUUAGUACUCCUUGAAGCGUUCGUGUAAUUGUGGAAUGUUAAAGCAGUUUCUUCUCCUCCAUGAAGGAGCUGGGCCUGCUGGGGUGGAUUGGGAGUUUGGGACCCUGCUGAGAGUCGAUCUGCACAGCGAUCGAUACCUUUUUGGAUGCAUCGCCUGUGCCUCUAAUUAACCAUCAUGUUGCAGCUUUUACAGUACUUAUUUUUGCAACCGCGAGCUGAUUGCAGGGAUCAGAAAUUGCAGCAGUUCUCUCCGGAGUCCGGAUGAGUACAGUGAGGAGUUUGAUUACUUGAGUCUCCAUAGCACAGCCGUACCACCUUGCAAGUUCGUUCAAUUCAGUUACUUUUUGGAGUAUUACUUUGUAGUACCAUGUACUGGCACCUCAUUCACUGUCGCUUCAACUAGAAGGUGAUCGUCCAUUCCCCAACCUUGUUUGAGGAAUGGUGUUCUAAAAGUAACAGUGAGUAUUACUUCCCUAUGAACUUUGCCUGUGCGGCAAUUCGUACCGGAAAGAAGACGCGCUAGGUUAAGAAGCAGAACACUUUAUAGCAUCGUACGAAUCACAAGCCGCACAUCCUCAACCACGCGUAAGACAUAACAAGAUACCAUGAAAUGAAGAAACAACCAUAGGGGGGAACAUUUAUGCAAAAUUAAGCACACAUCUACGCAGGAUGAUUAAAUCGAAUUGUUGAAUUGAUCCAAACAAAUGACAAGUACAUGUGUCGAUCCCUCUCUCGAAGGGAUUGAACAACAAAUAACAAGACACCAAAUUAAACUGGUGCAUCAGCGACAUCAUCAAUCAAUUCGUUAAAUUAAGCAGAAGAAGAAGGGGGAAAAAAGAAGAAGACAAAGACCGGCGGCCGCCAUCAUGCCUCCCCUCCGUCUCUUUCUCCUCCUCCUCCGGUCGGCCGGCCGGCGGCUCACUGAAUGUAGUAGGCGAAGAAGGAAGCCACGGCGGCCCCGAGCGCGGCGCCGAGGGCGGGCGCGACGGCGGAGGACCCGCUGGUGGGGGCCGGAGCCGGGGCGUCCGCGGCGAGCGCCACGGUGGCCGAGGCGGCGACGAGGACGGCGCAGGCGAUCUUCUUCAUCUCCAUCCCUUCUUCUGCGAAACGACGGAACGGAGGCGAGCAACAAGAAGAGCUGCGGCGAGCUUGGCUGCUGCUGCUUUUCUUGGCUUGCCUCUGCGCCCUCGAAAUUGCUUGCUUGCCUGGGAAGCGAGGGGAUGGGCGGGGUGGGGGAUUUAUAGCUGGGAUUAACGGGUGCUAAUCCCCGGAGGGGAGCUCUGAGCGGGGCGAUCGCGAGUGGGUGGGCCGCCAUGUGGUGGCGCCCGCUACGUGCCUGCAUGUGCAUGCGAAGCGGGCGAGUGGCUGGGCGGUCAUCUCGCGGCGGGGGAUGGGAGGAGACGAGACGAGACGAACGGGUCGCGUGGCGUGGCUCGUUGCGCUUUCGUUAUCGAAGUUGAACGAGUCCCCUUUCUUCGAUCUGCUAAUAGUCAUCAGGCGCGCACGUUUAUUUGCGUGUUGUAGCUGCGUGUUAGUUUUGGAAGAAAAUUGGGCUCUGGUUGACGUUCUGUUGUGACGUGUCUGCUAUUUUUGUCAGAUGUUCGUCCUCGUCGCCGGCGAAACAGCGCGGUAACUUGCAUCCCUGUACUGUUGCGACACGAUAUCCGGUUCC
rnacentral:lncRNA from 1 species